UACGGAGGGUGCAAGCGUUAAUCGGAAUUACUGGGCGUAAAGCGCGCGUAGGCGGCUGGAUAAGUCGAUUGUGAAAGCUUUGGGCUCAACCCGAGAAUUGCAGCCGAGACUGUUCGGCUAGAGUGUGGGAGAGGGUGGUGGAAUUCCCGGUGUAGCGGUGAAAUGCGUAGAUAUCGGGAGGAUUUUUUAAGGAG
rnacentral:rRNA from 1 species